GGGGCUGUGACUCAGUGGAAGGGCCUCUGCCUUUCAUGCAUGAGGUCCCAGGUUUGAUCCUCGGCCACUCCA
rnacentral:tRNA from 1 species